rnacentral:rRNA from 1 species
AUUGAACGCUGGCGGAAUGCUUUACACAUGCAAGUCGAACGGCAGCAUAGGUGCUUGCACCUGAUGGCGAGUGGCGAACGGGUGAGUAAUACAUCGGAACGUGCCCAGUCGUGGGGGAUAACGUAGCGAAAGUUACGCUAAUACCGCAUACGAUCUACGGAUGAAAGCGGGGGACCGUAAGGCCUCGCGCGAUUGGAGCGGCCGAUGUUAGAUUAGGUAGUUGGUGGGGUAAAGGCUCACCAAGCCGACGAUCUAUAGCUGGUCUGAGAGGAUGAUCAGCCACACUGGGACUGAGACACGGCCCAGACUCCUACGGGAGGCAGCAGUGGGGAAUUUUGGACAAUGGGCGCAAGCCUGAUCCAGCCAUUCCGCGUGCAGGACGGAGGCCUUCGGGUUGUAAACUGCUUUUGUACAGAACGAAAAGCUCUGGGUUAAUACCCUGGGGUCAUGACGGUACUGUAAGAAUAAGCACCGGCUAACUACGUG